rnacentral:rRNA from 1 species
UGGCUCAGAACGAACGCUGGCCCGCAUGCCUUACACAUGCAAGUCGAACGGCAGCACGGGUGCUUGCACCUGGUGGCGAGUGGCGAACGGGUGAGUAAUACAUCGGAACAUGUCCUGUAGUGGGGGAUAGCCCGGCGAAAGCCGGAUUAAUACCGCAUACGAUCCACGGAUGAAAGCGGGGGACCUUCGGGCCUCGCGCUAUAGGGUUGGCCGAUGGCUGAUUAGCUAGUUGGUGGGGUAAAGGCCCACCAAGGCGACGAUCAGUAGCUGGUCUGAGAGGACGACCAGCCACACUGGGACUGAGACACGGCCCAGACUCCUACGGGAGGCAGCAGUGGG